AGUUUGAUCAUGGCUCAGGAUGAACGCUAGCGGGAGGCUUAACACAUGCAAGUCGAGGGGCAGCAUAAGGUAGCAAUACUUUGAUGGCGACCGGCGCACGGGUGAGUAACACGUAUGCAACCUACCCUGUACAGGGGGAUAGCCCGGAGAAAUUCGGAUUAAUACCCCAUAAUAAUAUUGAGAGGCAUCUUUUAAUAUUUAAAGCUUCGGCGGUACAAGAUGGGCAUGCGCAACAUUAGCUAGUUGGUAGGGUAACGGCCUACCAAGGCUACGAUGUUUAGGGGACCUGAGAGGGUGAUCCCCCACACUGGUACUGAGACACGGACCAGACUCCUACGGGAGGCAGCAGUGAGGAAUAUUGGGCAAUGGGCGCAAGCCUGACCCAGCCAUGCCGCGUGCAGGAUGACGGCGCUAUGCGUUGUAAACUGCUUUUGUUUAGGAAGAAACCCAUCUACGUGUAGGUGGUUGACGGUACUGAAUGAAUAAGCAUCGGCUAACUCCGUGCCAGCAGCCGCGGUAAUACGGAGGAUGCAAGCGUUAUCCGGAUUCAUGGGGUUUAAAGGGUGCGUAGGCGGAGUACUAAGUCAGCGAUGAAAUCCUGCAGCUUGACUGUAGAACUGUCAUUGAUACUGGUAUUCUUGAAUGCAGUUGAGGUAGGCGGAAUGUGUAAUGUAGCGGUGAAAUGCUUAGAUAUUACACAGAACACCGAUUGCGAAGGCAGCUU
rnacentral:rRNA from 1 species